UGAUUAGACAUGGUGCAGAUUAGCAAAUUUACACCAGCAUGGGAUCCUGAGUUUGUUCAAAAUUGCAUCAAUGUGCAGGUUUCCGCCUGUCCAAUGUCAGACCUACUUGUCCCAAAGACUCUACGAUACUCAUGCUGAUUUAAAUGUAUACAGAAGGGAAGGAGCUUAGAUUUUUCCAGUGAGAGUGGAAGCCUGUCAAGCCGUGUUUGCCCGAAGUAGGGGUAUGCUUUGAGAACUUGUACAGAUGUGCGUAAUAAGCUUAGAGAGGGGCAUCCAAUGGGGUACCUUUAUGUACAUGCAUAUGCAUAUACAAUCAAUGAUCUGUUUAUGUUUCUGCAUGGAAGCAAUAGUUCAGUCGCUUCUGCCUUAUUUUGCUCCUAAAUUACCAGUUUGUACAUGCAACGCUUUGAGAAAGGAAGUGAAAAGGAGAUGCCACACUCAUGUCUUAGCAUCGACUCUCCUGCGAUUCAACGGAUGGGUCUGUCAGCUUUUCAACGAUAGAUACGUAGAUUGGACUGUACAUGCAACUUUCUGCGUACUUGACGAGAUUUCUGGACGAGGUGGGCGUGUUGCUAAGCCUACAAAGGAUUGUAAAUUUUGAAGAGCUGAGGAAGAGAGACCAAAAAUUUCCAUGUGGAUGGGACCAUCAGCAGCAUUGGCAAGUGCAGUUACCGAGAUCGUAAGCCACUUUAGCCACGUUGGCCGCCACUUGCAAAGAAAUUUUUCUGAGAUGUUUCUAAAAGAUAUAUAGAUCGUAAGCCAUUUUUCUGACUGUUCAUUAUGGAGAAGUUCAUCUGUUUUGCAUUUGUUGAUGUUUUGUUGGCUUCCCUAUUGAUGUUUCGCCAGAUUGGGCAAGGGCGAAGGAACGGGUAUUAUAAUUUUACAAUUUAAAGUCACCGUGAUACACACAAAGUUUGCAUAAUUUUCUCCAUCAAACAUGAGCUUCAUAAAAUUAUUAUCUAUGACAUAUUUUAUUUGAAUUAAUAAAUGAAAGGAUGACAAAAAACAGAUUAAAUAUAUUAUGGGUCUAAUUAGACCAACUGAAAGUUGUGGGAAGAUAUUUCACAUUAAUUAAAAGUGAUUUAAUUGAAUCAAUUGAAAGUUCAAAUAUGACAUGAAGCAUGGAUAAAUUUUGACAGAUUACUAAUAACAUUAUCUCUUCCAAUAAUAGAAACUUUCAAUCAGUCAACUUCCCACGAGAUACUUGAUAUUGUCCCUGCGGGAAGGUUACAAUAGUUAUCACAAAACCUUUUCACAUUUGUGCUUUGGAGAAUGAUCCAAAGUUCCAUUUGUACUCUCGUAGAGUUGAAAGUAAGUGUAAAAGUAUAAACGUGAAGAAUGAACCAUAGACAUGAUUGGGGGACAUCAUUUGAUAAUUAGUCUUUCUUUACAUUGUUUUCUUUUUCUUUCUUUCUGAUUGAGACAACCAUUUGGUAGGUUUUGGUAUUGAACUUUUAGAACAGGUCGAAAUUAGCGAACCGUCUAUUGAUGCAAACAAAGGGGACUCUAAUAAUUAUGGAGGAGUUCAUCUGUUUAGCAUUUGUUGAUGUUCUGUUGGCUUCCCUAUUGAUGUUUCGCUAGAUCUGGGCGAGGGCGAAGGAACGGGUAUUAUGAUUUUACAAUUUAAAGUCACCAUGGCACACACGAAGUCCGCGUAAUUUUCUCUAUCAAACAUCCGCUUAAUAAAAUUGUUAUCCAUGACAUAUUUCAUUGAAAUUAAUAAAUGAAAGAAUGACAAAAAACAUAUUAAAUAAAUUACGGAUCCAAUAAGACCAAUUCAAAGUUGUGGGAAGAUAUUUCACAUUAAUCAAAAGUGAUUUAAUUGAAUUGAUUGAAAGUUCAAAAAGUUCAAAAGUAAGUGUGAAAGUAAGUGUGAACGUGAAGAACGGGCCAUAGACAUGAUCUAUGGACAUCAUUUGAUAGUUAGUCUUUCUUUACAUUGUUUUCUUUUUCUUUUUUCUGAUUGAGACAACCAUUUGGUAGGUUUUGGUAUUGAACAUUAAGAACAAAUCAAAAUUAGAGAACCGUCUAUUGAUGCAAUCAAAGGAGACUCUAAUAAUUAUGGAGGAGUUCAUCUGUUCAGCACUUGAUGAUGUUCUGUUGGCUUCCCUAUUGAUGUUUCGCUAGAUUUGGGCGAGGGCGUAGGAAUGGGUAUUAUAAUUUUACAAUUUAAAGUCACCAUGACAUGCGCGAAGUCCACGUAAUUUUCUCCAUCAAACAUCAGCUUAAUAAAACUGUUAUCCAUGACAUAUUUCAUUUAAAUUAAUAAAUGAAAGGAUGACAAAAAACAUAUUAAAUAUAUUAGGAUCCAAUAUGACCAAUUCAAAGUUGCAGGAAGAUAUUUCACAUUAAUCAAAAGUGAUUUAAUUGAAUUGAUUGAAAGUUCAAAAAGUGCAAAAGUAAGUGUGAAAGUAAGUGCGAAUGUGAAGAACGGGCCAUAGACAUGAUCGAGGGACAUCAUUUGAUAGUUAGUCUUUCUUUACAUUGUUUUCUUUUUCUUUUUUCUAAUUGAGACAACCAUUUGGUAGGUCUUGGUAUUGAACACUAAGAACAGGUCGAAAUUAGCGAACCGUCUAUUGAUGCAAUCAAAAGAGACUAUUCAUUAUGGAGAAGUUCAUCUUUUUAGCAUUUGUUGAUGUUCUAUUGGCUUCCGAAUUGAUGUUUUGCCAGAUAUGGGCAAGGGCGAAGGAAUGGGUAUUAUAAUUUUACAAUUUAAAGUCACCAUGACACGAACAAAGUUCGCGUAAUUUUCUCCAUAAAAUAGGAGCUUCAUAAAAUUGUUGUCCAUUACAUAUUUCAUUUAAAUUAAUAAAUGAAAGGAUGACAAAAAACAUAUUAAAUAUAUUACGGAUUUAAUUAGACCAAUUAAAAGUUGCAGGAAGAUAUUUCGCAUUAAUCAAAUGUGAUUUAAUUGAAUUAAUUGAAAGUUCAAAUAUGACAUGAAGCAUGGAUGAAUUUGAUAGACUAUAAGUAACCUUAUCUCUUCCGACAGUAGGAACUUUCAAUUAGUCAACUUUCCACAAGACACUUGAUAUUGUCCUCGCGGGAAAGUCACGAUAGUUGUCACAAAACCUUUUCACAUUCGUGCUUUGGAGCAUUGGUCAAAGGUCCAUUUGUACCCUCACAAAGUUGAAAGUAUGUGUGAACGUGUAAACGUGAAGAACGGAUCAUAGAUGUGAUUGAGGGACAUCAUUUGAUAGUUAGUCUUUCUUUACAUUGUUUUCUUCUUCUUUUUUCUGAUUGAGGCAACCAUUUGGUAGGUUUUGGUAUUGAACACUAAAAACAGGUCAAAAUUAGGGAACCGUCUAUCGAUGCAAUCAAAAGGGACUUUGUUCAUUAUGAAGAAGUUCAUCUUUUUAGCAUUUGUUGAUGUUCUGUUGGCUUCCCUAUUGAUGUGUCAGCCUGUCAUUUGUUCUAGCAACUUCAGUGAUCAAGAGGCUCUCCUCCACUUCAAAUCGACAUUGGAAGUCGACCCAAGGAACACCAUCAAAGGAGGCAAUUGGACUGUGGAAGCAAAUUUUUGUGAAUGGAUUGGUGUCGUUUGUAGCAACCGCAGACAGAGAGUCACAGCCUUGGACCUAUCACACAUGGGUCUCCAAGGAAGACUCUCUCCCUACCUUGGGAAUCUUUCUCUCCCGGCUUCUCUUGAUCUUCGCAACAACAAUUUUUAUGGCAUGAUUCUGAUAGAAAUUGGCCAUUUAUGCCACCUGAAAAAUCUUAUACUUGAAUCGAACCAGUUCGAAGGAAACAUUCCUCCUAUCUUAACCCAGUGCCAGAACCUCGAAGUCAUGUCACUCGCGACCAAUAGGCUAACGGGUGGCAUACCAAGAGAAUUCGGCGCCUUCCCUAAGUUGCAACAACUGAAUCUUAGCUCAAACGACUUACGGGGUCAAAUUCCAAGCUUCCUGGGCAAUAUAUCCACAUUGCAAGUCAUUGGAUUGGCCAAUGCCACUCUCACUGGUUCGAUUCCUUCAGCACUUUUCAAUGGAUCGCUCACAUGGGUCAAUUUGUCGGAUAAUUAUCUCUCUGGAUGUCUUCCCUCUGAUCUUUGCUACCGCUGGCCUAACAUUCAGAUUCUUUCACUACGUCAAAAUCAAUUCAGCGGCUUGCUACUAGAGACGCUAACCCAAUGCAAAGAGCUUAUCAUAUUUGGUCACGACAAUUAUCAUAAAACCUUUUCACAUUUGUGCCUUGCAGCAUUGGUCCAAAGGUCUACUUGUACCCUCACAGAGUUGAAAGUAAGUGUGAACGUGCUAUGCCUUGUAGCAUUGGUCCAAAGAUCUAUUUGUACUCUCACUGAGUUGAAAGUAAGUGUGAAUGCGUAAAUGUAAAGAAUAGGCCAUAGACGUGAUUGAGGGGCAUCAUUUGAUAGUUAGUCUUUCUUUACAUGUUUUUUUUCUUUUUGCUUUUUUUUUUUAUUGAGCCAACCAUUUGGCAGGUUUUGGUAUUGAACACUAAGAACAUGUCAAAAUUAGCAAACCAUCUAUUGAUGCAAUCAAAAGAGACUAUGUUCGUUAUUGAGAAGUUCAUCUUUUUAGCAUUUGUUGAUAUUCUAUUGGCUUCCCUAUUGAUGUUUCACCAGAAUUGGGUGAGGGCGAAGGAACAUGUAUUAUGAUUUUACAAUUUAAAGUCACCAUGACACGCACAAAGUCCACAUAUUUUUCUCCAUCAAACAUCAGCUUCAUAAAAUUGUAAUCCAUGACAUAUUUCAUUUAAGUUAAUAAAUGAAAGGAUGAAAAAAAUAUUAAAUAUAUUAUGGAUCUAAUUGGACCAACUGAAAGUUGUAGAAAGAUAUUUCACAUUAAUCAAAAGUGAUUUAAUUGAAUUGAUUGAAAAUUCAAAUAUGACAUGAAUCAUGGAUAAAAUUUGACAGACUACUAGUAACAUUAUCUCUUCUAGCAAUAGGAACUUUCAAUUAGUCACUUCCUACGAGACCCUUGAUAUUGCCCUUGCGGGAAGGUCACAACAAUUAUCAUAAAACCUUUUCACAUUUGUUCCUUGCAGCAUUGGUCCAAAGGUCUAUUUGUACCCUCACGGAGUUGAAAGUAAGUGUGAACGUGUUGUGCCUUGGAGCAUUGGUCCAAAGAUCUAUUUGUACUCUCACAGAGUUGAAAGUAUGUGUGAAUGCGUAGAUGUAAAGAAUAGGCCAUACACGUGAUUGAGGGACAUCAUUUGAUAGUUAGUCUUUCUUUACAUUGUUUUCUUUUUCUCUUUUUUUCUUUUUUUUGAUUGAAACAACCAUUUGGUAGGUUUUGGUAUUGAACACUAAGAACAUGCCAAAAUUAGUGGACCGUCUACUGAUGCAAUCAAAAGAGACUCUAUUCGUUAUGGAGAAGUUCAUCUUUUUAGCAUUUGUUGAUAUUCUAUUGGCUUCCCUAUUGAUGUUUCACCAUAAUUGGGUGAGGGCGAAGGAACAUGUAUUAUAAUUUUACAAUUUAAAGUCACCAUGACACGCACAAAGUCUGCGUAAUUUUCUCCAUCAAACAUCAGCUUAUAAAAUUUGUAUUCCUGACAUAUUUCNNNNNNNNNNNNNNNNNNNNNNNNNNNNNNNNNNNNNNNNNNNNNNNNNNNNNNNNNNNNNNNNNNNNNNNNNNNNNNNNNNNNNNNNNNNNNNNNNNNNNNNNNNNNNNNNNNNNNNNNNNNNNNNNNNNNNNAUGACAUGAAGCAUGAAUACAAUUUGAUAGACUACUAGUAACAUUAUCUCUUCCAGCUAUAGGAACUUUUAAUUAAUCAACUUCCCACGAGACACUUGAUAUUGCCCCUGCAGGAAGGUCACGACAGUUAUCAUGACACAUUUUCACAUUCGUGCUUUGGAGGAUUGGUCCAAAGGUCCAUUUAUAACGUGUAAACGUGAAUAACGAGCCAUAGACGUGAUUGAGGGACAUCAUUUGAUAGUUUGUCUUUCUUUAAAUUGUUUUCUUUUUCAUUUUUUUCCUAAUUGAGACAACCAUUUGGUAGGUUUUGGUAUUGAAUACUAAGAACAUGUCGAAAUUAGCGAACCGUCUAUUGAUGCAAUCAAAGGAGACUAUAUUGAUUAUGGAGAAGUUCAUCUUUUUAGCAUUUGUUGAUGUUCUGUUGGCCUCCCUAUUGAUGUUUUGCUAGAUUUGGGUGAGGGCGAAGGAACGGGUAUUAAAAUUUUACAAUUUAAAGUCACCAUGACAUGCACAAAGUCUGCGUCAUUUUCUUCAUCAAACAUCAUCGUCAUAAAAUUGUUAUCCAAGACAUAUUUCAUUUAAAUUAAUAAAUGAAAGGAUGACAAAAAAUAAUAAAUAUAUUACGGAUUUAAUUAAACCAAUUGAAAGUUACGGGAAGAUAUUUCACAUUAAUCAAAAGUGAUUUGAUUGAAUUGAUUGAAAGUUCAAAUAAGACAUGAAGCAUGGAUAAAAUUUGAUAGACUACUAGUGAUGUUUCGCUAGAUCUGGGCAAGGGCGAAGGAAUGGGUAUUAUAAUUUUACAGUUUAAAGUCACCAUGACAUGCACAAAGUUUGCGUCAUUUUCUUCAUCAAAUAUCAUCGUCCUAAAAUUGUUAUCCAAGACAUAUUUCAUUUAAAUUAAUAAAUGAAAGGAUGAAAAAAAAAUAUUAAAUAUAUUACGGAUUUAAUUAGGCCAAUUGAAAGUUACGGGAAGAUAUUUCACAUUAAUCAAAAGUGAUCUAAUUGAAUUGAUUGAAAGUUCAAAUAAGAGCAUGGAUAAAAUUUGUUAGACUACUAGUGACAUUAUCUCUUCUAGUAGGAGGAACUUUCAAUUAGUCAACUUCCCACGAGACACUUGAUAUUGCCCCUAUGGGAAGGUCACGACAGUUAUCACAAAACCUUUUCACAUUCGUGCUUUGGAGCAUUGGUCAAAGGUCCAUUUGUACCCUCACAAAGUUGAAAGUAAGUGUGAACGUGUAAACGUGAAGAACGGGCCAUUUACCGAAUUAGAUGUGAUUGGGGGACAUCUUUCAAUAGUUAGUCUUUCUUUAUAUUGUUUUCGUUUUUUUCCUAAUUGAGACAACCAUUUCGUAGGUUUUGGUAGCGAACCGUCUAUUGAUGCAAUCAAAAGAGACUCUCUUCAUUAUGGAGAAGUUCAUCUUUUUAGCAUUUGUUGAUGUUCUAUUGGUUUCCCUAUUGAUGUUUCAGCUUGUCAUCUGUUCCAGCAACUUCAUUGAUCAAGAGGCUCUCCUCCACUUCAAAUCCAUGAUGGAAGUCGACCCGACAAACAAUAUCAAAGGUGGAAAUUGGACCGUGGAAGCAAAUUUUUGUGAAUGGAUUGGUGUCGUUUGCAGCAACCGCAGGCAGAGAGUCACGGCUUUAGACCUCUCGCACAUGGGUCUCCAAGGAAGACUUUCUCCCUACCUUGGCAAUCUUUCUCUCCUAGCUUCUCUUGAUCUCCGCAACAACAGUUUUUAUGGCAUGAUUCUGAUAGAAAUUGGUCAUUUACGCCGCCUGAAAGAACUUAUACUGGAAUUGAACCAGUUCGAAGGAAACAUUCCUCCGAUCUUAACCCAGUGCCAGAACCUCGAAGUCAUGUCACUCGCGACGAACAGACUAACGGGUGGCAUACCAAGAGAAUUUGGCGCCUUCCCUAAGUUGCAACAACUGAAUCUUAGCUCAAACGACUUACGGGGUCAAAUUCCAAGCUUCCUGGGCAACAUAUCCACAUUGCAAGUCAUUAGAUUGGUCAACACCACUCUCACGGGUUCGAUUCCUUCAGCACUUUUCAAUAGAUCGCUCAUGUGGGUCAAUUUGACAUAUAAUUAUCUCUCUGGAACUCUUCCCUUCGAUCUUUGCUACCGUUGGCCUAACAUUCAGAUGCUUGCAUUGAAUAAAAAUCAAUUCAGCGGCCCGCUACCUGAGAUGCUAACCCAAUGCAAAGAGCUUAUCAUAUUGGGGUUGUCAUCCAAUCGUUUUCAAGGAAGCAUUCCUCGAGAUAUAGGCAGCUUGCAAAAGCUGCAAAAGCUCUUUAUUGCUGUUAACAACUUGACCGGCACGAUUCCUCGAACCAUCGGUAACAUCUCGAGCUUGCACAAGCUGGACAUAGGAUCUAACCACAUUGAAGGGGUGAUUCCGAGUGAGAUUGGCAAUCUGGUCAAUCUGCAACUAAUGGACCUUUCGAAAAAUUUGCUGACCGGCGAAGUGCCUCAAGAGGUUUUUAAUAUUUCUUCGCUUCGAUCGCUUGGUUUGAGGGACAAUUCCCUCUCUGGAAGCUUUCCCUCAGGUAGAGAUCUAAGCCUUCCAAAUUUGGAAGGUCUAUCUCUAGCAAACAAUGGCUUUGGCGGCAACAUUCCGCAGUAUUUCUCGAAUUUUUCAAACCUAAUCCUNNNNNNNNNNNNNNNNNNNNNNNNNNNNNNNNNNNNNNNNNNNNNNNNNNNNNNNNNNNNNNNNNNNNNNNNNNNNNNNNNNNNNNNNNNNNNNNNNNNNNNNNNNNNNNNNNNNNNNNNNNNNNNNNNNNNNNNNNNNNNNNNNNNNNNNNNNNNNNNNNNNNNNNNNNNNNNNNNNNNNNNNNNNNNNNNNNNNNNNNNNNNNNNNNNNNNNNNNNNNNNNNNNNNNNNNNNNCAAAUUCUAACUGCUCACAAAUUGUCAAAAUAAGAGGUCGUAUUCCCGAGGAAAUAAGUUUCUUGAAGAGAUUGACUUGGCUAGAUUUGGGCAAUAAUGCUCUAGACUGCAACAUCCCAUCAUCGAUAAGAGGACUCGAAAGGUUGCAAAGGCUGUAUCUUGACAACAACCAUCUCGAAGGACCGAUCCCUGAUGAGAUAUGCAAUUUGACAGGUUUAGGAGAGUUGGUGCUCGGGCAAAAUAGGAUAUCGGGAUCAAUCCCAAAUUGCAUUGAAAACCUUAGCAGCCUUCAAAAGUUUCUCAUAAGCUCGAAUAACAUGACAUCGGUUAUACCAUUUAGUCUGUGGGGCCUUCAAGAACUCAUUUUCCUCAAUCUGUCACUCAAUUCUUUCAAUGGAGGACUACCACUUGAAAUAGGGAAGAUGAGAGCUAUAGAGAGCAUUGAUCUUUCUUGGAACCGACUUACUGGUGCCAUACCGAGUUCCAUCCAGGAGUUUGAGAGCCUUGCUUCUCUCAACUUGUCAAGGAACUUGUUUCAAGGAUCAAUACCGCAAUCAAUUGGCCAUCUCAAAGGGUUGGAUUUCCUUGAUCUCUCCUACAAUGAGUUAUCAGGCAUGAUACCUGAGUCCAUGGAAGGACUUGCACAUCUACAAAAUGUGAACUUGUCCUUUAAUAAACUAUCGGGAGAGAUUCCUAAUGGCGGGCCCUUUGGAAAUUUCUCGGCUCUCUCUUUCAUUGGGAAUGAAGCACUUUGUGGAAAUGUGACUUUUCAAGUCCCACGUUGCAAAGUAAAUGGAAUGAAAUCAUCAAGGGACAAGUGGCUCCAUAUACUAUACAUUAUUGUGCCAAUUGUAUUAGCUAUACUUCUAGUCCUCAUCAUUUGCUUGUUAAGAAAGCGUGGGACACUAGUGAAAAGCUUCAAUUUCAUGGAGAACUUGCCUAGAAUUGACCACCCGANNNNNNNNNNNNNNNNNNNNNNNNNNNNNNNNNNNNNNNNNNNNNNNNNNNNNNNNNNNNNNNNNNNNNNNNNNNNNNNNNNNNNNNNNNNNNNNNNNNNNNNNNNNNNNNNNNNNNNNNNNNNNNNNNNNNNNNNNNNNNNNNNNNNNNNNNNNNNNNNNNNNNNNNNNNNNNNNNNNNNNNNNNNNNNNNNNNNNNNNNNNNNNNNNNNNNNNNNNNNNNNNNNNNNNNNNNNNNNNNNNNNNNNNNNNNNNNNNNNNNNNNNNNNNNNNNNNNNNNNNNNNNNNNNNNNNNNNNNNNNNNNNNNNNNNNNNNNNNNNNNNNNNNNNNNNNNNNNNNNNAUGGUUGACAUUGCAAUGGCAAUUGAGUAUCUCCACCAUGGCCAAUCGGAACCCAUUGUGCAUUAUGAUCUAAAGCCUAGCAAUAUUCUUCUAAACGAGGACUUGGUCGAACAAGUCUGUGACUUUGGAAUUUCCAAGAUUUUGGCUGAGAACAAGCUUAAAACACAAACUCGAACUCUCGGCACGAUUGGUUACAUUGCUCCAGGUACAUUUGUCGAAUAUUAGCUAAUUAAGCCUUUGAUUGCCAAUAUAAUGGUAUAAUGUAAUAGAGAUAUAUUAGCACUCGUCUGCCUCUUGAUCUUAUUAAUAAUGUCCCAAAAAGAAAUAGAUCAAUUGCCGAUUUUCUUAUUUCUCAAACUAUGAUGCUUGUAGAGUAUGGUUCGGAAGGUAAAGUCACGACAAAAGGAGAUGUAUAUAGUUUUGGCAUAUUGUUGUUGGAAGUUAUUACUCGGAAGAAGCCAACCGGUGAAAUGUUCAAUGCGGAUAUCAGCUUGAGGCAAUGGGUAGGUGUAGCAAUUCCAAAUAGAGUACUUGACAUUGUGGAUAGCAAAAUCCUUCGCACGAAACAUGAAGAUCCGACGCUUUCGAAAUUCAAUAGCAUAGUCUUAUUGAUACUAGAAUUAGGACUAGAAUGUUCAAAGGACUCGCCUGAGGAAAGAAUGGACAUGAAAACUGUCGUGGUUAAGCUCAACAAAAUCAAGUUGUUACUUCCUUGACGAGAAAACAAGGCGAGAGUAGCUUAGAGAAUUUGAACAUAGCAUUUUCAUAUUUUGUACUUAGUAAUUUCAUUUUUAUUGCAUUGUGUGUAUGACUCUGCAAGAUAGUUCCUAAUCUUUUUUUUUUAAAGCUUUUUGAAUGAGAGGAAAAUAAUCCAAAAUGCAACUAGAUCUGCAAUCGAGAGUCUAACUCAUUCUAACUUCAAAAGAUGUAGCAGUUGCCAUGCUCUCUAAGUAAAAACUUUGUUUGAGAGUUGGUAGAUUUGCCAGUGACGAACAUUGUUUCCUUGAAGCUUGACUUCUUCUUGCGUCACGGUCGACGCAGCCCAUGAGCCUUACGUGGCUGGGCAGGGCUAGGCCUUUCCAGCCCGCAUGCCAAGCUUGGGCCGAUACCUAUUUGGGCCAAUUUCAACCCCUUUUCUAUUUUAAUUUUUUCCUCUUAUUUUUACAAAAAAAAAAGUACUUAUAAUUUAUUUUAAUCAAACAAAAGAUUAUUUUAACUUGUCCAUAUUAAAUUGUAAAGCAAAUUCAAACUAAAUGGAAUAGACAGUAGCUUGGCCUUAAAACAAAAGAAAAUAUAGUUAUCAUACCUGCAUUACACGUUUAUAUAGUCAUCUUCAUUCCCUAUACAACGUCAUAAUGGAUAGUAAUAAGACUAUCAUUUUAAUUGCAUGGAAAUAAAAUAUUGAAAGUCAUUUUCUUAUUGUUAUAAUUCUUUUCCAGAAGGCAAACAUCAAAUAAUAUCUUCUUAUUCUUUUGAUGAUUAAAACAAACAUUUAUUCAAAGGCCUAUAGAAACGGUGAAAUAUAACAUGCCUUUUCUUUUAUCUAUUAUCUCUUUCUUUGGCCUGUUUUUCAUUGUUCUCUUUCAAGUUUAUUUACAUUACAAUAUCAAAGUAUACGUAACUGAGGGCUAAAUGGGAAAUCAAAAAAUGAGAUAAAACCCAUUUUUGACUUAAAUAUGUAGAUAAAGGGCAAUUUUUAUUUUCAUCGGCAGAAAAAAAACGAUAUACAAUACGAAUAUGAGUAAAAAAUUAUUAUCAUUGGUUUUUUCGAAUGAUUUGAGGUCAUCACUUCCAAUGAAUUUUACGAGAAAUAGCUUUGUUAGUGGCGGACUUGGUGCCUCCUAGAUGCCAGUCCCACAUGAUGAGUUGUCAAAAGGAUAUUGUCGCGCCAAAUAUCUUUGCUAACUUUUUUGAAAUUCAGAGACGCCGUCGUUUUCUUCUUCUUUUCAACUCUCCCCUCCUCCCUCCAAUCACCUGCAACUCAAAAUCCCGUCCGUCUUCGAUCAUCGUCAGUCGUCGUCAUCAUCGCUGCGAAAUCGGACGGGUGAACGGACGGCAAUCUCAGCAAGCGAGCAACGACCUGCCAGGCGGAGAAGCAUCAGCGAGCAUGGAUGACGCGAACGCCGUCGAAGCCGCUGGAGUUCCGACCUCGGCUCUCCACCGCAUCAAUCUCUCGAGCUCCGAUAUCCGACAGUCGGUGUCCCUGCUCAAACAGGUCCUCGAUUCUCUCGAGUCUUUCCGAUGUUCCGAUUCGAUUUCCGGUACCGAAAACCGAGGAAACUAAGGUUUUGUUUAUUCGUGACGACGCUGGCGGAUGAAUCCUGUCCGUUGGCCUCAGGCGUGCUUGGAUUCUGGCUUUUUCUACGUGAUCAAUCACGGAAUCGGCCAGGAUUUGAUGGAGGAGGUCUUCGCCCAGAGCAGGCGGUUCUUCGGCUUGCCUUUGGGCGAGAAGAUGAAGCUGUUGAGGAACGAGAAGCACCGAGGCUAUACUCCUCUGUUCCCAUGAGGUCCUCGAUGCCGCGAAUCAGAUUCAGGGUUUGUGUCUGAUGAUUUCGUUUGUUCCGUUUUUUUUGGAGUCAGAUUACUGAAGAUUUUGCUGCUUAUAGUGGAUUUAGAUGAGCAGCUGAUGAUUUUGAUAGCUUCCUGUAAUCAGCUGGUGGCUGGUGGUUGAGGAGCAGCUCUUAGAAAAGAAAGAUGCAAUUAGUUAGUUAUUAUUCCUGGUUGUAAUUAUAUUCUGGGAGAGCAAGGAUACUUCAUCAGAGCUGACACAGAAAUAGGAGCGAGUUGUUUGAAGUGCUAACGCGAAACCAUGAGCAAUACAACGAGGAUUUAGAUGAAACUUGUUAUUAUUUAUAUAUAUAAUUAUCACUUUCGAAACCAUGAAAAAUACAACGAAGAUUUAGAUGAAACUUGUUAUUAUGUAUAUAAUUAUCACUUUCUGAAGACCAGUCAAGUAGUAAUGAUUUCAUGGACGUUUUAUAGGAGAUUAUAAGGAGGGAUACUACGUCGGAGCGGAAGUACCAGAGAAUGAUCCUGACGCGCAGAAGCCUCAUUUUGGACCAAAACUCUAGCCUUCUGAGGGUAACUAGUUGCUUAAUAUGAUUAUCUGUGCAACUUCGAAUUGUUCACUGGUGAUAUGUACUUAAUUUGGUUUCACUGUUGUGUUUUAACUAGAGAUAUUGCCAAGAUGGGGGCAGACUAUGGAGAAAUUUCUUAGCGAGGCAUUGUGAGUUUUUGCUAUAGAUGAUAAAGAGCCGCGGACAUUAAAUUUUGUUGCGAGUUGCAAGAUGCGAAAGAUUAUUCCAUCUGAGUAAAAGAUAAAAUGGAGAUGUUCUGUUUCUCUGACGGGAAAUUUGGGGCUUUCCCAGUACCCCCAAUGGUCACCAUCUUCCCCUUCCGCUUGCAUCAUAUUGUGCCAAGUUCUUUUAAUGCCCAAGGGGGUUAAAUUGCCCUACUGCCAAACUGCUUAUGCUCUCGUUGGCUCUUAUUCUAUGUUGGCCAAAGUGUAAAUCUCUUCAGGUUAUUAGUAACUGUUGAUUCAACAAUUUCUAGGAAAUUGUUCAAAAGCUACUCUGCCGCAAUCUGAAUAAAAUAUUUUCAGCUGUCAAGAUUUACUAUUAAUCACACUGACCAAGAGCCUCAGCUAUAAGUGUCUUAUAGGGGUAGGGUUGAUAGUGUAGUCACAAUUUUCAUUGCAUAGGAUCUCCCAAUCAGUUGACUUUUGGAUCUUGUUACAUCUCAAGAGUAAUGCCUAGAUGAUCUAUGUGGCAAAAUCAAGUGCAAUCUGUUGAUAUAAAAAAGUGAUGGUAGUUAAUUUUGGUAAUUUUUUUAUUUGUGAAUAUUCUCAUAAAAAAUGUGGCGAAAGUGGUUGGAAGGAUCAUUGCUCUAGCACUUGAUCUGGAGGCUGAUUUUUUUUGACAAGUCAGAAAUACUCGGCAAGCCUUUUCCGAUCUUGCGCUUGUUGCACUAUGAAUGUAGAUUUUACUUCAAUGAACUACAAAAUAAACCCGACAAUUCUUUCUUCUCAUCCGGUUGAUAUUCCUUUAGGUCUAAUCUCCGAUCCCUCUAAAGGGAUAUAUGGAGCUGGGGCACAUUCGGACUUCGGGUUUAUCACAUUGUUGGCGACAGAUGAUGUCUCGGGUCUCCAAGUAUGAAAUAUUCUCCUAUAAAAUUGUUGGUGCAGACUCUAUGCAUGGUUAUAAUGCAGGGAACUUUUUAAACUUAUUCAGAUUUGCAAGAACAAGGAUGCUAAGCCUCAGGCAUGGGAAUAUGUGCAACCUUUGAAAGGGUAAAGCCCAACAGAACUUGAGAUGAAGAUGUUCGAGAUCUCAUAUUUAAACUAACUUGAACACUUUUGGUGGAAGCCAUCGUGUUAGGUACAUUCUAGUGAUUUGUGGAUUACAAAUUUAACUUGGACUAACUUUGAUUUAAUCUUGUACUUUUGAUUUAUUGGAGCAUGUACAUGAUAACAUUUUCCCCUUAUACGCAUGAUUGGAAGAUUGCUUCAUGCUGAUGUUGAGUGGAAUACUAACCCCGGACUAGUCACAACUUUUUGACAAACAUCGUUGUUUGUCUGACCCUGAUCUGCUACUAUAGUUGUUGUUCGUACAAAGGCAAUGAUAUGCCAGUUUAGAGUGAAAAUAUUAUUGUCAGAUGGGUGAUAAAGAUCGGUUCCAAUUUAGAAAUUCAGAGAGGUGCCCUCAUCCACUUCUCCUUUCGUAUCUGCGAUUUGCAUCUGUAUAAGUAUUCAUAAUAACUUUGAUUAGUUUAAUCCUUUUGAUGAUGAUCCUCCAUCCCUUCCUCCCUCCCUCCCUCUCUCUCUGUGUCAAACAUCCUUGCACACACUCACAUGAUGGUUUGCCCCCAUUCUUUCUUGGUUAAUCGUGUGCAGAUCCACGGCCAUAGAACUACCAGGCAUCAUACGCAUUCUACAAUUAUUAGAACAUGUCUCACGACAUAUGUCUGGUUGCAAGAAGUUUGAGAGGGCAAAAUUUUGGGAGAGAAUUUGUCAUUGCUCAAGCAUCUUUUUUGUUCUGCAUAGCUUUUCGACAGAACACAACAAUCCUGAAAACUAACAUUUUUUCCUUGGCUAUUUGGUACAGAGCGUUCAUAGUGAAUUUUGGUGAUAUGUUAGAAUGAUGGAGCAAUUGUAUUUUCAGGUAAUAUGCUUCGAUAGAAGUCUAUUCAAAUAGAUUGGUAACCUGUCCCAAACUCUACCAAAAUUUCUUCAUUUGUAUCCUCGUGGCUCUUGUUGAUAUUAGUAGCCCAUUAGUAGUGGAAGAGCAUCUGCUCUUGACAUUGCCUAAUUACUGGCUGAGUUGCCUCGGGAAAAAAGUCCAAGUUAAACACAGUUGUUGAAAUGGAAUGAUAUGUUGAUGACUUGCAUUUCUUUCUACAUAGAGUCCACUUUAUGAAUGAUAAACCAUAAAAGAAUUAUCCUAGUGUUUUUGUUAUUAUUGCUCUUAUUGGUCAUUUUUUCGAUACUAAUCUUUGUAUGUGUUCUGCGAUUGCUGACCACAGACAAGGCUUAACAUGCACUGUCAUCAUGCUUGAGAACUGUUUAGUAGUAUAGGAAAUGAGCUCUAUGGUGUCCUGCAGUUCUCCAUAAUUAGCAAGUUCAUUCUCUAUUCUUUUUUUAAGAAUUUGACUUGCCGCUUUUUGCUUCUUUUUGUCGUAUUUAUGCUAAUCUAUAUAUUUUGUUUUGCUUUUGCAAUCAGAUCCACGCUCCAUCGAGUUAUAGGGAAUGGUCAAGAACGGUAUUCUAUAUGGCCUCUCUUCUCUCUCUCUCUCUCUCUCUCUCUCGUCAUCUUUUGGAAAAUUUGGCAAAAGUCAUUGAGAGAAUUUUGAAGCUUUGUCGAGUCUUUUUUGAUUGGUUGGGUAAUAGGAAGAGUAGAGAAUAAUUAAGCCAAUCUAGGAUAGUUGUAGGCUGAUUGGAAAGUGGCCCUGGGUUUGAGAUCACGUUCUAGUGGCAAGUCAGUUGAUCAUGUGAUUAAACUCUUAGGAAAUUCCUCUCAACUCGAGACGAUCUUCAGGAAUAAUGCACAUUUAUUUCUGGAAAAAAAUCGAAUUGUUUUUAUUCCCUUGUUAGCAUUUUUCAUCCCUUACGUUCUCUGUCCUUGAUGAGUUUUUUUUGCUAAAAUCUCUGUUAAAAGUCCUAUUUAUGCUCAUUUUCUCACGGAAUGCAGAUUGCUUUCUUCCUGGAGCCUAACCAUGAGUGUCUCGUCGAGUGCUUGCCUACAUGUAUGUCAGAGGAAAAUCCUCCCAAGUAAGCUGUCUUCCGUAAAUUAGUUUCUUUCCUAUAUAUCAUCAACAUGUCGCUAUUGUAUUUCCCAUGUUGUCAAAUCUCGGCCCUAAGAUCUAGUUCUUCUCCUCCUUGAUUCAAAUGACGGACUUUAUGCGUUUUGUUUGAGUGUCGAUGCUCUGCUUUGUACGUGAUUGUCGAAGUGGAUAUUGCAUUACCAAGGAUCGUCCAAACUCAUAUGCUUAUGCUUGGACUUUUCGUUUAUGUUAAGAGGACUACAUCUAAGUUUUAACUCCAUUUUCAUGAAGAAAAAUGUUUAUACGGAAACCAGGCAUUGACCUGUCCCUGAUUUGAUCAAUUGAUACGAUUGAUUGCGUGCUCACAUUGUGUUUGAACCAUUUCGCGUGGGGAUCUUGGUGUUGUAUUUAUCAUAGCUACUCCCGUAAUUAACUUUUUGGUUUUUUGAUCGUGACUCCAAUAGUCGUUAGACAUGGUGCAAAUUAGCAAAUUUACACCAGCAGCAUCUGAUCCUAAACUAAAUUUCUUCAAGAUGGAUUCACGUGCAGGUUUCCUCCCAUCUUAUGUCAGACCUACUUGGCCCAAAGAUACGGCGAUACUCAUGCUGAUUUAGAUGUAUGCAGAAAGGAAGAAGUUUAGAGCCUGCCUGUGAGGAGCUGGAGCCUGUCCACCAGGACUUGCCUGAAGUGGGGGGUAUACAUUGAGAGCUCGUAAAGAAGUGCCUGAUGAGCUUAGAGAAGAGCAUCGAAUGGGGUACACGCGUGUACAUACAUAUGCAUACACAACUAAUAAUCUGCUUAUGUUUAUGCAUGGAAGUAAUGGUUUGGUCUUCUUGCUUCCGUGAUUUGGCUCCUAAAUUAGCAGUUUGUACAAGCAACUCUUUAAGAAAGGAAAUGAAAUCGAGAUGCCAUGCAUAUUUCUUGGCGCCGACUUUCCUGUGAUUCAACGGACGGACAGUUGCUUUUUUACGAUAGUUUCAGCGGAUUGGACUGUACAUGCAACUUUUGGCAUAUUUAGCAAGAUUUUUUGGAUGAGUUAGGCGUGUCGCUAAGCCUACGAAGGAUUUAAAAUAUAACGGGCUAAGACGAGGAGAAAGCAAGCAUGUCCGUGUGGGUGGCACUAGGAGUAGCAUUAGCAAGGGCACAAACUGAGAUCGUAAGCCGCUUUAGCUACUACGCUGGCUGCUACUUUCUAAGAAAUCUUUCUGAUCUUUCUCAAGGGUGGAUUAGGUCAGUCCCUUCUCGAAUUCCUCCUGUGACGCUUGACUAGCUGACGCUUCCGCUACGGAAAAACAGAGAAACGAGCACUGAAAACAGAACUUCCGACAAGAACCUGGCUAUCUCUUUAGCUCUUUGUUCUCAAUGUAGGUGGAAAAUCUCCCAAGACAGUGAGAUAGACAGUUAAAUUAGCAGUUACCAAGUUAAUUAUACUCUUCUAGCUUUCUUGUAUUUUAAACAGUUAAUUGAUUAUGCAAGAGAUUGAAAUGGAAAUAUGUGGUGGAAACAGAUCCUAUGACAUUCAUUGUUCCGCCCAUUACAUUCGAAAUUUUGACAAUCUUGUAUCUAGGGAUGAUUGGUUGUUGAGUGGGUUGAUUCUCGACUUGAAAUUAGAUAUCCACCUCAUGAUUCCAGGUUUUGAAUUUUCGAGAUUGGGAAUUGAAUCGGUCAUUUUUGGAAUUGUUGCUUCCUGAUUUUGCUGGUUUCCAGUUCUAUUUGGGAAUUACUCCUCUUUUUUGUGUUAAAAAUCAAAUUCUUAUAAUAAAAUGUAAGAGUUGCACUUCUUCACUUAGUAACAUAUUUGAUGAAAUAAUUAUGUUAUUGUUUAUUCACAAUGGAGACCAUGAUUCAUUUCUCAAUUCAACCUGAAAACCGAAGUGGUGGAACCUAUUUAGAUCAGUUCUCUAGUAGAACUAGCGGUUUUGGCCUUAGAAUUGGAAAUUGAGCCAGUCCUAGGUCGGUUCUAAGUUCAUGAAACUGGGAACUAUAUCAAUUCUCCCUAAAAUUGGCCUUAAUUCGAUCGGUUUAGAUCAAUUCAAUCCGAUUCUCAAAUUGAAUCAGUCUUGCUUACCCCUACUUGCAUUGGCUCACUCUACUGUUGCUUGCAUCAUGUAACAUAGAGCAUUAGUUAAAGUAUAGAAACUCAUGCAGUUUUUGUACUUUUGACGGGCAUGCAAAUAAUUCAUAUGAUUUGUGGAAUGCAAUUGAUAGGGUUCAUGGAGUUCAUAUCGUUCAAAAGUCUCUUCAUUUGAGAUGAGGCAUUCGUCCGAGGAGUAAUAGAAAAUGGAAUAGCUCUCCAAGAAUCUAUGAUUUUCUUAGAUAUUCAAAAAUGAAAUAUCAUAAGAGUAAAUUAAAAAGAAUAAUCAUGCAUGUAAAUAUGACUAUUAUUUAGGUUUUUCGAAUUUUAGGAGCCGUUUGCUUUGUAAAAAUUGAACAAAUUCAACUUGUAGAAAGCAUUAAGACAGGGGAAGAAGACGUCACUCAAUCGUUGUCGGUCGUCAUCAUCACCGUGAAAUCAGUCAGGCGGACGGGACGGCGAGCAUGGAUGACUCAAACGCCGUUGAUGUCGCCGGAGUUCCGUCUUCGGCUCUCGACCUCAUCGACCUCUCAAGUGCUGAUAAUGGACGGUCGGUGUCCUUGCUCAAACAGGUCUUUGAUUUUCCCGCCUUUUUCCGCUAUUUUCAGUUCGAUUUCCGGUGCGUGAAACUGAGGAAACGGUUUCCGAGUUGAGAGGGACGCUGACGGAUGAAUCCGAUCCGUUGGCCUCAGGCGUGCUUGGAUUUCGGCUGUUUCUACGGGAUCAAUCACGGAGCCAGCCAGGACUUGAUGGAGGAGGUGUUCGUCCAGAGCAGGCGGUUCUUUGGUCUGCCUUUGAGCGAGAAGAUGAAGCUGUCUAGGAACGAGAAGCAUCGAGGCUACACCCCUCUGUUCGAUCAGGUCCUCGACCCUGCAAAUCAGAUAAACGGUUUGUGUCUGAUCAUCCUGCUGAAGAUUUUACUGCUUAAAGUGGACAUAGAUGAAUUGCUGGUGGUUUUGAUGGCUGUAAUCAGGUGGGGGUUGAGUAGCAUUUCCUGGAAACGGAAGAUCAAUUAGUUAUUAUUCCUAUUUUCAGUUGUAUCCUUGGAGAGAAUUGCCACAGAAUUAGGAGUUUGAAUUGCUAACACAUGACCAUGAGCUAAUAUUUCUGUUAAAAAAGAUUCUACUUAUGCUCAUGUUCUCAUGAAAUGCAGAUUGCAUAUUUCCUGGAGCCUAGUCAUGAUUGUCUCAUCGAGUGCUUGCCAACAUGUAUGUCAGAGGAAAAUCCUACGAAGUAAGUUGUCUUCUGCACAUUAGUUACUUUCCUAUAUAUCAACAAGAUGGUGCAAUUCUACUUCCUCUCUUAUCAGUUCUUGGUCCUAAGAUCUAGUUCUCCUCCACGAUUUGAACUAGUGUCUUUACGCAUUGUGCUUGAAUGCCGGUGCUCUGCUUUGAACAUGCAUGUUGAAGUGGAUAUUGCAUAUCCAGGGAUCAUUCAAGCACUGUAAAGAGGACUGCACCAAGUUUAACUCCAUGAUUCAUGAGGAAAAAAAUGUUUGCUCGUGAAUUAGGCAUUGACCUGUGGCAGAUUUGAUGAAUUGAUACAAUCAACCACACGCUUGCAUUCUCUUUAAAGGGUUGGAUCCUUUUCGUGUGGGGAUUUGGGCACUGCGUUUAACAUAGCUGCUCCAUUAGUGAUUAGACAUGGUGCAGAUUAGCAAAUUUACACCAGCAUGGGAUCCUGAGUUUGUUCAAAAUUGCAUCAAUGUGCAGGUUUCCGCCUGUCCAAUGUCAAACCUACUUGUCCCAAAGACUCCACGAUACUCAUGCUGAUUUAAAGGUAUACAGAAGGGAAGGAGCUUAGAUUUUUCCAGUGAGAGUGGAAGCCUGUCAAGCCGUGUUUGCCCGAAGUAGGGGUAUGCUUUG
rnacentral:lncRNA from 1 species